rnacentral:rRNA from 1 species
UGCCGCGUGAGUGAUGAAGGCCCUAGGGUUGUAAAGCUCUUUCAACGGUGAAGAUAAUGACGGUAACCGUAUAACAAACCCCGGCUAACUUCGUGCCAGCAGCCGCGGUAAUACAAAGGGGGCUAGCGUUGUUCGGAAUUACUGGGCGUAAAGCGCACGUAGGCGGAUUGUUAAGUUAGGGGUGAAAUCCCAGGGCUCAACCCUGGAACUGCCUUUAAUACUGGCAAUCUCGAGUCCAAGAGAGGUGAGUGGAAUUCCAAGUGUGGAGGUGAAAUUCAUAGAUCUUCUGAGGAACACCACUGGCAAAGGCGGCUCACUGGCUCGGUACUGACGCUAAGGUGCGAAAGCGUGGGGAGCAAACCGGAUUAGAUACCCUGGUAGUCCACGCCGUACACUAUGAGAGCUAGCCGUCGGCAAGUUUACUUGUCGGUGGCGCAGCUAACGCAUUAAGCUCUCCGCCUGGGGAGUACGGUCGCAAGAUUAAAACUCUAAGGAAUUGACGGGGGCCCGCACAAGCGGUGGAGCAUGUGAUUUAAUUCAAAGCAUCGCGCAGAACCUUACCAGCCCUUGACAUCCCGGUCGCGGUUUCCAGAGAUGGAUUCCUUCAGUUCGGCUGGA